rnacentral:rRNA from 1 species
CAUAGGUGAACCUGCGGAAGGAUCAUUAC